rnacentral:rRNA from 1 species
ACCAAUACUAGCCUAACUUUACUCCCCUCAACAAGCAUAGAACGCUCAACCAAAUCAUUUACCACAAAUUAUUAACAGUAUAGGAGAUAGAAAUUUUACCUAGCGCUAUAGUAAUAGUACCGCAAGGGAAAGAUGAAAGAACACCUUAAAGUACAGAAAAGCAAAGCCUACCCCUUGUACCUUUUGCAUAAUGACUUAACCAGAAGCAACCUGACAAAAAGAAUUUCAGCCAGAAAACCCGAAACUAGACGAGCUACUCACAAAUAGUCAUAUAAGGACGCACUCACCUAUGUAGCAAAAUAGUGAAAAAAUCUGCGAGUAGAGGUGAAAAGCCUAACGAGCCUAGUGAUAGCUGGUUGUCCAGAAGAGAAUUUUAGUUCAACCUUAAAUUUACCCAAAGUACCCACAAACCUAACGUAAAUUUAAAAGUUAAUCUAAGGAGGAACAGCUCUUUAGAUUAGGCUACAACCUUCAAUAGAGAGUAAGUAAUUUUAAUGUCAUUGUUGGCCUAAAAGCAGCCAUCAACCAAGAAAGCGUUAAAGCUCAACACACAACACCCCUUAAUCCCAACAAUUUACACUAAUCUCCUAUCAACCAACUGGACCAACCUAUUACCCAAUAGGAGUGAUACUGUUAACAUAAGUAACAAGAAUCCCCAUUCUCCACAGCGUAAGCUUAUAUCAGACCGAAUACUCACUGAUAGUUAACAACAAAGUAAAAAUAAAAUACAUCCCAGACACCCUACUAUAACAAACUGUUAACCCAACACAGGAGCGCAUUAAGGAAAGAUUCAAAAAAGUAAAAGGAACUCGGCAAAAACUAACCCCGCCUGUUUACCAAAAACAUCACCUCCAGCAUAACCAGUAUUAGAGGCACUGCCUGCCCAGUGACACACGUUAAACGGCCGCGGUAUCCUGACCGUGCAAAGGUAGCAUAAUCACUUGUCCUUUAAUUAAGGACUCGAAUGAACGGCUAAACGAGGGUUAAACUGUCUCUUACUUUAGAUCAGUGAAAUUGACCUCCCCGUGAAAAGGCGGGGAUAUAACAAUAAGACGAGAAGACCCUAUGGAGCUUAAAUUAAAUAACCCACAUGAACACAAACAAACCUAACUAACAGGCACAAUCACUGUCAACCCUUGGGUUAAAAAUUUCGGUUGGGGUGACCUCGGAGCACAAUAAAACCUCCGAACAAUUCUAACCUAGACCUCACUAGUCAAAGUAAACCAAACUACCAACUGAUCCAAACUAAUUUGAUCAACGGAACAAGUUACCCUAGGGAUAACAGCGCAAUCCUAUUAUAGAGUCCAUAUCGACAAUAGGGUUUACGACCUCGAUGUUGGAUCAGGACACCCUAAUGGUGUAACCGCUAUUAACGGUCCGUUUGUUCAACGGUUAAAGUCCUACGUGAUCUGAGUUCAGACCGGAGCAAUCCAGGUCGGUUUCUAUCUAUUUAAACGUCUCUCCCAGUACGAAAGGACAAGAGAAACAGAGCCUACUUAACAAAGAGCCCUCAGUAAAAUAGAUGAAGUAAACUUAAUCUAACAUAUCACUAAAAAUUCCGCCCAAAAUCAGGGCUU